UACACACCGCCCGUCACGUCAUGAAAGCUGGCAACACCCGAAGCCGGCGCGCCAACCGCAAGGGAGGCAGCCGUCGAAGGUGGGGUCGGUGAUUGGGACG
rnacentral:rRNA from 1 species